AUGAACGCUAGCUACAGGCUUAACACAUGCAAGUCGAGGGGCAGCAUGGUCUUAGCUUGCUAAGACUGAUGGCGACCGGCGCACGGGUGAGUAACACGUAUCCAACCUGCCGUCUACUCUUGGACAGCCUUCUGAAAGGAAGAUUAAUACAAGAUGGCAUCAUGAGUCCGCAUGUUCACAUGAUUAAAGGUAUUCCGGUAGACGAUGGGGAUGCGUUCCAUUAGAUAGUAGGCGGGGUAACGGCCCACCUAGUCUUCGAUGGAUAGGGGUUCUGAGAGGAAGGUCCCCCACAUUGGAACUGAGACACGGUCCAAACUCCUACGGGAGGCAGCAGUGAGGAAUAUUGGUCAAUGGGCGAGAGCCUGAACCAGCCAAGUAGCGUGAAGGAUGACUGCCCUAUGGGUUGUAAACUUCUUUUAUAAAGGAAUAAAGUCGGGUAUGCAUACCCGUUUGCAUGUACUUUAUGAAUAAGGAUCGGCUAACUCCGUGCCAGCAGCCGCGGUAAUACGGAGGAUCCGAGCGUUAUCCGGAUUUAUUGGGUUUAAAGGGAGCGUAGAUGGAUGUUUAAGUCAGUUGUGAAAGUUUGCGGCUCAACCGUAAAAUUGCAGUUGAUACUGGAUAUCUUGAGUGCAGUUGAGGCAGGCGGAAUUCGUGGUGUAGCGGUGAAAUGCUUAGAUAUCACGAAGAACUCCGAUUGCGAAGGCAGCCUGCUAAGCUGCAACUGACAUUGAGGCUCGAAAGUGUGGGUAUCAAACAGGAUUAGAUACCCUGGUAGUCCACACGGUAAACGAUGAAUACUCGCUGUUUGCGAUAUACGGCAAGCGGCCAAGCGAAAGCGUUAAGUAUUCCACCUGGGGAGUACGCCGGCAACGGUGAAACUCAAAGGAAUUGACGGGGGCCCGCACAAGCAGUGGAGUAUGUGGUUUAAUUCGAAGCAACGCGAAGAACCUUACCAGGCCUUGACAUCCCUUGCAGAGGUAUAGAGAUAUAUCCGAGGUUAUCAAGGAGACAGGUGGUGCAUGGUUGUCGUCAGCUCGUGCCGUGAGGUGUCGGCUUAAGUGCCAUAACGAGCGCAACCCUUGUUGUCAGUUACUAACAGGAUUUGCUGAGGACUCUGACAAGACUGCCAUCGUAAGAUGUGAGGAAGGUGGGGAUGACGUCAAAUCAGCACGGCCCUUACGUCCGGGGCUACACACGUGUUACAAUGGGGGGUACAGAGGGCCGCUACCACGCGAGUGGAUGCCAAUCCCAAAAACCUCUCUCAGUUCGGACUGGAGUCUGCAACCCGACUCCACGAAGCUGGAUUCGCUAGUAAUCGCGCAUCAGCCACGGCGCGGUGAAUACGUUCCCGGGCCUUGUACACACCGCCCGUCAAGCCAUGGGAGCCGGGGGUACCUGAAGUGCGUAACCGCGAGGAGCGCCCUAGGGUAAAACUGGUGACUGGGGCU
rnacentral:rRNA from 1 species